UCCCGCUUGCGGGAAAGAGUAAAGCGGCGCACGGGUGAGUAAUGCAUGAAUAACCUGCCCUUAGGUCUGGGAUAACCCCGUGAAAAUGGGGUUAAUACCGGAUAAUAUCCAUUUAACCAUGGUUGAGUGGGUUAAAGAUGGCCUCUGCUUGCAAGCUAUCGCCUGAAGAGGGGUUCGUGUCCCAUCAGCUAGUUGGUAAGGUAACGGCUUACCAAGGCUAAGACGGGUAGCUGGUCUGAGAGGACGACCAGCCACAUUGGCACUGAAACACGGGCCAAACUCCUACGGGAGGCAGCAGUGGGGAAUAUUGCGCAAUGGGCGAAAGCCUGACGCAGCGACGCCGCGUGAGGGAAGAAGGUCUUCGGGUUGUAAACCUCUGUCAGGUGGGAAGAACCUCUCCUUAUCAAAUAGAUUUGGAGAGUUGACGGUACUACCAAAGGAAGCACCGGCUAACUCCGUGCCAGCAGCCGCGGUAAUACGGAGGGUGCAAGCGUUGUUCGGAAUUACUGGGCGUAAAGAGAUCGUAGGUGGCUUUGUAAGUCAGAUGUGAAAUACUCUUGCUCAACGAGAGAAUUGCAUUUGAAACUGCAUGGCUUGAGUACGGGAGAGGGAAGUGGAAUUCCAGGUGUAGCGGUGAAAUGCGUAGAUAUCUGGAAGAACACCGGUGGCGAAGGCGACUUCCUGGGACCGAUACUGACACUGAGGAGCGAAAGCGUGGGGAGCAAACAGGAUUAGAUACCCUGGUGGUCCACGCCGUAAACGAUGGGCACUAGGUGUAGGGGGUUUAUCCUUCUGUGCCGAAGCUAACGCAUUAAGUGCCCCGCCUGGGGAGUACGGUCGCAAGGCUAAAACUCAAAGGAAUUGACGGGGGCCCGCACAAGCGGUGGAGCUUGUGGUUUAAUUCGAUGCAACGCGAAGAACCUUUCCUGGGCUUGACAUCUCCCGAAUUCCGAUGAAAAUCGGAAGUGCCCCUUCGGGGGAACGG
rnacentral:rRNA from 1 species